AUUGAACGCUGGCGGCAGGCCUAACACAUGCAAGUCGAACGAGUGGCGGACGGGUGAGUAAUGUCUGGGACACUGCCUUAUGGAGGGGGAUCACUACUGGAAACGGUCUCUAAUCCCGCAUACCAUCGGAUGUCCCCAGAUGGGAUUAGCUAGUAGGUGGGGUAACGGCUCACCUAGGCGACGAUCCCUAGCUGGUCUGAGAGGAUGACCAGCCACACUGGAACUGAGACACGGCGCAGACUCCUACGGGAGGCAGCAGUGGGGAAUAUUGCACAAUGGGCGCAAGCCUGAUGCAGCCAUGCCGCGUGUAUGAAGAAGGCCUUCGGGUUGUAAAGUACUUUCAGCGGGGAGGCGUUACCCGCAGAAGAAGCACCGGCUAACUCCGUGCCAGCAGCCGCGGUAAUAC
rnacentral:rRNA from 1 species